GUAGGAGGCAAGCGUUAUCCGGAUUUACUGGGCGUAUAGAGAGCGUAGGCGGGUUCUUCAAGUCGGAUGUAAAAUCUCCCGGGCUCAACUGGGAGGGAUCAUUCGAUACUGUUGGGCUAGAGGACAGCAGAGGGAGGUGGAAUUCCCGGUGUAGUGGUGGCAUGCGUAGAUAUCGGGAGGAACACCAGUGGCGAAGGCGGCCUCCUGGGCUGUUUCUGACGCUGAGGCUCGAAAGCGUGGGUAGCGAACAGGAUUAGAUACCCUGGUAGUCCACGCCGUAAACGAUGGACACUAGGUAUGGGGAGUAUCGACCCUCUCCGUGCCGCAGCUAACGCUUUAAGUGUCCCGCCUGGGGACUACGGCCGCAAGGCUA
rnacentral:rRNA from 1 species